rnacentral:rRNA from 1 species
UACAGAGGUCCCAAGCGUUGUUCGGAUUCAUUGGGCGUAAAGGGUGCGUAGGCGGCGCGGUAAGUCGGGUGUGAAAUCUCGGGGCUUAACUCCGAAACUGCAUUCGAUACUGCCGUGCUUGAGGACUGGAGAGGAGACUGGAAUUUACGGUGUAGCGGUGAAAUGCAUAGAUAUCGUAAGGAAGACCAGUGGCGAAGGCGGGUCUCUGGACAGUUCCUGACGCUGAGGCACGAAGGUCAGGGGAGCAAACGGG